rnacentral:tRNA from 1 species
GUCGCGUUCGUCCAGUGGCCUAGGACAUCUGCCUUUCACGCAGGGAACGUCGGGUUCAAUUCCCACACGCGACUCCA